ACACGAGCGGCGGACCGGUGAGUUACACGUGGGUGAUCUGCCCUGCACUCUGGGAUAACCUGGGAAACUGGGUCUAAUACCGGUAUGAGCUCCUGUCGCAUGGCGGGGGUUGGAAAGGUUUACUGCUCAGGAUGGGCCCGCGGCCUAUCAACUUGUUGGUGGGGUAAUGGCCUACCAAGGCGACGACGGGUAGCCGGCCUGAGAGGGCGACCGGCCACACUGGGACUGAGACACGGCCCAGCUCCUACGGGAGGCAGCAGUGGGGAAUAUUGCACAAUGGGCGAAAGCCUGAUGCAGCGACUCCGCGUGAGGGAUGACGGCCUUCGGGUUGUAAACCUCUUUCAGCAGGACGAAGCUAGAGUGACGGUACCUGCAGAAGAAGCACCGGCCAACUACGUGCCAGCAGCCGCGGUAAUACGUAGGGUGCGAGCGUUGUCCGGAAUUACUGGGCGUAAAGAGCUCGUAGGCGGUUUGUCGCGUCGUCCGUGAAAACUUGGGGCUCAACCCCAAGCUUGCGGGCGAUACGGGCAGACUUGAGUACUGCAGGGGAGACUGGAAUUCCUGGUGUAGCGGUGAAAUGCGCAGAUAUCAGGAGGAACACCGGUGGCGAAGGCGGGUCUCUGGGCAGUAACUGACGCUGAGGAACGAAAGCGUGGGUAGCGAACAGGAUUAGAUACCCUGGUAGGUCCACGCCUUAAACGGUGGGCGCUAGGUGUGGGUUCCUUCCACGGGAUCCGGGCCGUAGCUAACGCAUUAAGCGCCCCGCUGGGGAGUACUGCCGCAAGGCUAAAAAUCAAAGGAAUUGACGGGGGCCCGCACAAGCGGCGGAGCAUGUGGAUUAAUUCGAUGCAACGCGAAGAACCUUACCUGGGUUUGACAUAUACCGGAAAGCCGUAGAGAUACGGCCCCCCUUGUGGUCGGUAUACAGGUGGUGCAUGGCUGUCGUCAGCUCGUGUCGUGAGAUGUUGGGUUAAGUCCCGCAACGAGCGCAACCCUUGUCCUGUGUUGCCAGCGCGUAAUGGCGGGGACUCGCAGGAGACUGCCGGGGUCAACUCGGAGGAAGGUGGGGACGACGUCAAGUCAUCAUGCCCCUUAUGUCCAGGGCUUCACACAUGCUACAAUGGCCGGUACAGAGGGCUGCGAUACCGUGAGGUGGAGCGAAUCCCUUAAAGCCGGUCUCAGUUCGGAUCGGGGUCUGCAAC
rnacentral:rRNA from 2 species